rnacentral:rRNA from 1 species
UUUGAAAUCUGGCGUCUUUGGCGUCCGAGUUGUAAUUUGAAGAAGGUAUCUUUGGGCCCGGCUCUUGUCUAUGUUCCUUGGAACAGGACGUCACAGAGGGUGAGAAUCCCGUGCGAUGAGAUGACCCGGGUCUGUGUAAAGUUCCUUCGACGAGUCGAGUUGUUUGGGAAUGCAGCUCUAAGUGGGUGGUAAAUUCCAUCUAAAGCUAAAUAUUGGCGAGAGACCUGAUAGCGAACAAGUACAGUGAUGGAAAGAUGAAAAGAACUUUGAAAAGAGAGUGAAAAAGUACGUGAAAUUGUUGAAAGGGAAGGGCUUGAGAUCAGACUUGGUAUUUUGCAUGCUGCUCUCUCGGGGGCGGCCGCUGCGGUUUACCGGGCCAGCAUCGGUUUGGAGCGGCAGGAUAAUGGCGGAGGAAUGUGGCACGGCUUCUGCUGUGUGUUAUAGCCUCUGACGAUACUGCCAGCCUAGACCGAGGACUGCGGUUUUUACCUAGGAUGUUGGCAUAAUGAUCUUAAGUCGCCCGUCUUGAAACACGGACCAAGGAGUCUAACGUCUAUGCGAGUGUUUGGGUGUAAAACCCGUACGCGUAAUGAAAGUGAACGAAGGUGGGGGCCCAUUAGGGUGCACCAUCGACCGAUCCUGAUGUGUUCGGAUGGAUUUGAGUAAGAGCAUAGCUGUUGGGACCCGAAAGAUGGUGAACUAUGCCUGAAUAGGGUGAAGCCAGAGGAAACUCUGGUGGAGGCUCGUAGCGGUUCUGACGU